rnacentral:rRNA from 1 species
AACGGCCGCGGUAUCCUAACCGUGCAAAGGUAGCAUAAUCACUUGCCUAUUAAUUGUAGGCUAGAAUGAAUGGGUUAACGAAAUAAAGACUGUCUCAAUUAAUCACCUAAAAAUUACUAUCUAUCUGAAGAAGAGUAGAUAAUCUCGAAGGACAAGAAGACCCUAUAGAGCUUAAUUUUAAUUAUAGAGCUACACUAUAAAAAUAUUCGGUUGGGGCGACCCAGGGCUAAUCAAUCACCCACUACAUAAAAGAUAAAUUAAUCAAAUAAUUGACCCCUAAAAGAUCAUAAGAACAAGCUACCUUAGGGAUAACAGGCUAAUCCCACUCAAGAGUCCUUAUCAACAGUGGGGUUUGGCACCUCGAUGUUGGCUUAGG